AUGCGUUGGAUGGAUUCCCAUUGAGAAGGAAGGAUGCUUUCAAAGGAAAAAGGCCAUGGAGAGAUACCGUCUGUGACCCAUGGAUCUCCACCAGGGAACCUUAAUAUACAAGAAUAGUGGUUUUAUGUUGAGUUUGCGCUACUUGGAAUGGAAUUUAUGGCGAACUGAACAUAUAGUAGCUAAAGUACAGUCAACCGAUACCCCAAUAGUUUAUUUAUAUAGUUGCAACGAGCAAAAACGGGUUGGGAAAAUCCUAUAGUUCUUUGGUAUUUGGUGUUUGUUGGUUCAAGAGAAUGCAAUUCAUUCUCAGAAGUGACGUCUAAGUGGAGAUGGGGGGCUUAUAUAGAUAUCCUAUCUUAGAAUCUCCACUAAUUGUAUGAUGGAAAAACCAAAGUGAAACCUAGGUACACCUCAUUUCGGUGGUCCCGAAAUCAAUAGGGUAGUCUCGGGUUAUCACUGAGAAUUUCGAGAUGAAUUCUCCUAUAUUGUGAAAAGGUCGGAAGAUUUGGCCAAAGAAGGUGAGAGCCCCACAGAUUCAUUUUGGUGGUUCGAUCCUAUAGAGUCAAACUCGAGUGUUUUGUUUUCAUUCUUAUAGCUUUGAUGCUUUAAAGGGGAACCACCCUCUAAGUCCUAGUUUUCCUCUCCCAUUGGUCGAGCUAGUCCCUUCCUUAAUUUCCAAUAGCGUACAAUUACAGUGAUGGAAAGGUGAAAAUAACCCUAAAAAGGGAGUGAAAUAGAAACCUUGAAAUAUGAUGCAAACAAUCAGUCGAUUGACUCAAACGAUGUACCUUUUGCAUAAUGGGUCAGCGAGUAAGCAGUAACAACAACUUAAGCCAUUAGGUGUAGGUGGCGUUGUUGUUACCAGACCCGAAACCGACACAGGUGAACUAUUUUAUUCUACUAGGGAACUUAAGAUAACUAUGUCGGAGUUCGCUAAAAUGACCCUAUAACUUUGGGACAAGGGGUGCUCUUCCAUCUAUGCAUUAGGAGAGCGACACAUACUAGAGGGUAGUGACUAUUUAUUAAAAACACAGGACUCUGCUAAGUGGAAACACAAUGUAUAGAGUCUGACAUAUGCUCGGUACUGGACUAAGUAGAGCUUCGAAUGGAAGAUCCAGUCAACUAGGUAGUAACUAUAACUGUCCCAAGUUAGCGAAAUCGCUUGUCACAUGGACUCAGUGAAAUUG
rnacentral:ncRNA from 1 species